UAAGACUCAUUUUAUUCAUGCUUCAAGUGUUCCAGCUUACAUUGUGUACCAGUAUAGAAAUGUGUACCUGGUACUCUGAGAUAAAGAAGAGCAGAGGGGUCAGUAAAUAGUAGUAGCAAUAUCACAGCAACAGACUUCAGCAAUCGCGAUGAACCAGUGGAAUAGUAGUACAGGCAGAAAUCCCAGGAAUAGAUCAACCAAGUAAGGAACUUAAGAAAAACCAACAACACACUCAAGAACACCCAAUAAUCACUUUGAAAGACUAAACGACAAUACCAACAAAAAAACUCCAGUAAUACCAAAUGCACUCCAAAUCACAGCAAGAGAAACAGAUGCAAGACAAGCAGUAUUUCUACUUGUGAACACUCAAAGAAAGCCAACUGAGACUUCUUAGGAAAAAAAAAGCUCAACUUUAACUCUCUC
rnacentral:lncRNA from 1 species